rnacentral:lncRNA from 1 species
GGAUCAUUCGAUGCAAUAUCUAGCUCAUAUUCCCAAAGAGGGAUCGCUUCAUGAUAUUAUCGCAUCGUCGUCAUCUCCAUAUUCUACCCUUCCCCACCCCGUAGAGGUUAUUUAAGCGUGUGGAUUGGUCACGAAUACUUAUUGCAUGAUAUUACCCGUCCCAUUCUAUAGAUCCUAGAGGGAACUUAGGAUCAUUAUUUCUAUAUUGUAGGAACUAGGCGGAACCCCUAGGUUCAAAGGUUAAAAUGCUAGGCGACAUACAAAAGCAAAUAGGACUUGCACGUAAAGGAAUCAUGUAAAAAUAUAAAGGCUCAAGUAUCCCUCUAUAAACGAACACGUAAUAAUCACGACUCAAACACAUUUGAGGUCUAGGGAAGAGAGAGUUUUAUAAAACUAGAGUACAAGUUUUAACAAAACAGAAACUAGAGAGUUUGCAGAAAAGAGUUGCGAGGAAAACAUUCAGAAACUUUAAAAGGCAAUAGCAGUUUUUUAAGAAUCUGCAGAAAUCACUUAAAAGCAUUUGUGGAACAUGUGGUUGAACAGUUUCCGGACAGGCAGAGUAAAACAAGUGUGAAGGUAUAUAUUUUUAAGAUUGCAGAAAGUGUAAACAAAACCUAUCAGCUUUUGAACUUUAAAAAGAUUACAGAUUCAGAUAGUUGAAAAAACAGUAAUCUAACUCUGAACGAUAGAAACCUUUGCAUAGAUGGCAUAAAAAUAGGUCCGAAGUAUAAUAUUUUAGAGAUUCAGAGACAAACAAUUCAAUCAGAGGUGGAUUAAUUAGAACGCGACUUAAAAGUGAUUAGCUCAUUUUUAUCCGGCCUAAGGCUUGGCUAAGAGUUAUUGAAGAUGGUGAACAUGCACAUUUUGUUUCCAUUUUUUAACAAGGAGUCCCUAACUGAUUUUUACCCAGAUUAGCGAAGUACAUAAACAACUGCAGAUAAAAGUCCUAAAGGCAUGAUAUCUAAUGCACAAAAGGCCCUAUGAACAUGAUAUCGAAAUGUGAGGGUAAUGAAUUAUUAAUUAUUUAUUGGUUACGAUUACGAAAAUGUACAGAAUAACAAUUGAGAGUAAAAGGCCUAAGAACAUGGUUUCUAUGUGUGAGGAUGUAUGUCCUAAGGCAUGGUAGCUAUUGCACAAAUAAAUAAAUAAGUCCUAUAGGCAUGUCUUCUACCCAUUCCCUUAAACAUGAAUAACCCCCCAUAGUUACUAUAAUCCCCAUUGUUUUUACAGAUUAUUACAGCCAGAUAAUUAAAAUACAAUAGUGAGAAAAGAAAAUAAGAAGUUAUUCUAUAGAGAGCCUUCAGCCAGGUCCAAACAUCUCCUACCUCACUUUUUUGGAAUUUCACAUCCAGUACCAAGGUUUGGGUGCGGCAAAGCUCUCUAAGGGUUCGUUUGAACCCCUGGCCAAUACCAAGCACCCAAAGAUGUCCUAAUUGGACAGUUUCAAACAUUGAAAGCUAGCCUUAGGCAUCAGAGUUCCAUGGGUGCUCAGGGCUCCCAUGGCAGUGCUUACUCCAAGGAGGCAGGACCUAGGGUUCUAAGAGUAGUAAAGUUGGAACAGAACUUUAAAACAAUUGAAAGUCAGUUUAAGAAAAAAAGAAGUUGAGAAAUAGUUUCAGAAAGUAGUCUAAGAGAAGUUGAGAGUCAGUUUAAGAAAAACAGCAUAAGGAUUUGGGAGACAGUUUAAGAAAAUAGUUUAAAAGAGUUAAAAGAGUAGACAGGAAUUCUUUUAAAAUCAUUUAUACUAACCAGUUUAGAACAGAGCAUUAUACAACCAGGGGCAAAGGGGGAGAGAACAGAUAAAGUAUAAGAAUCUACUCACACACAGAGAAACAUAAUGAAGGCAUGUAAUCAGACUUAGUUGUAGAACAAAUAGGGGUUCAGUUCUUACUGCACAAACCCCCCAGUACAAGGAUCUACUCACACACAGGCAAACAUAAUGAAGGCAUGUAAUCAGACAUAGUCAUCGAAAAAAUAGGGGUUCAGUUCUUACUGCACCAAACCCUAAUACAUUUAACCUCAAGAAGAGGUAUCAAGUAGCCAAGCAGCCCUGGACACAUAGUAACAAUGCACAAAGAAAAGUAAACAUUCAUUGAUAUAUGGAAGGGGUAAGGGGAGCAUGCUAAUCUAAGCUAAAUAGGCUGGUGAAUGUAUACUAGUGACAACAAGAACAACACAACAAGAAGAAUGCAAAACUAGUAAAAGCAUGUUGUUUUGGAAACUGUAUAUUCAAUAGGUAACAUACCAGUUGUAGACAAGGAACACAAUAAGAAUAAGCAGUAGUGCACAAAGAGAGCAAAGUAUGCAGAGAAUAAAAGCAGCAAGGUGAGAGCAGCAAUGUGCAUCAAAGAGAGAAUGGCAGUGUGCAACAAAGAAAUCAGCAGGCAAACCCAAGCAAAUAAUGCAGCAGAAUCUUAGUAGUGCAGAAGUAAACAGCCAAGAUUACUCAAUCUUGGCUUUCAGUCGAUUGAGUGAGAGAGUUUGUAGGAAAGAAACAAAACAGUAGAGAGAUAGAGAGCUCUGAGUGUUACUGAAAGAAACUUCAGAGGGACUGUAAUGCCUCAGUAUGAGAGAUAUGCAAUGUGUUGGUUUUGAAAGAAGGUUUAGAGAAAUUGUGCUCGUGAUUGAUGAGAAGAGAAGAGUGGUACUUAUAGCUUUUGAAAAUAGUAGAGAAUAGGGUAGGGAGUGUAUAAUUAUUGAAAAAAUAUCAAAUUAAAUCAAUCAUAGGUCCUAACUCAAAUAAAUUAGGGACUCAAAAUGAAUGAGAAUACAGGCUAUCAAAUAAGUAAAAAGCCAGUUGAAUGAUUGACUAUACCAUAACGAAUGCAAUAGGCAUGUUGUACAUAAUAAAGGCUAGGUACACAACAUUACAAACAAGGCAAAUAUAUGUUGAAUAACAAAAUAUAUUUAAUUGCACAAAUAUGGAAAGAAAUAUAAAUUAACUAUGAAAAAUCUGUCAAAGAAUCACGGGCAAGACCAAAAUCAGAGGGAAUGCUUAUAAGUAAGGAAAGCAUAUCUAAAUAAGGAAGUAAUUCAAAAGAAAUCAGUGUAAACGUCUGAGGAAAAUCAUAUACAAGUCAUAGAUUCACAGAGAUGCGCAUAUCAGUAGAAUAUCACAUGAGCGACGAACAAUUAGCCCUAUAAAGCAUAACAGACCUGAAAAUCAGAGAACCCUAAGCAAGGAAUCAUGGAAGCAACAAAGGGUCAGAACCCUAGCAAGAAACUAAAGCAGGGAACUCAAAUUGACAAGGAAACCAAACAAACUCGUAAGCAACAAAGGGUCAGAACCCUAGCAAGAAACUAAAGCAGGGAACUCAAAUUGAUAUGGAAACUAGACAGACUCGUAACACAAACAAGUACAAAUGAACACAUAAUAUUCACGAGAAGUAGAUAUAUACGAUUUUGAAAAGGGAUGAGAAACCCUAGCCAGAAAGUUUAAGCAUGGAACUCAAAAUUAACAAGGAAACUAAAAACUCGUGACACAAAUAAACACAAACAACCAUAUAAUACUCAAGAAAAGUAGGAGAUAUAGAGACUUUGAAAAGGGUCAGAAAACCUAGUUUGAGAAGAGGUACAGAACAUUUGAAAAAUUCAAAUCAACCAAAGAUAUCGAGUGAGAUGGAGUAUAGAAAACAAAGAUUAAAUCGGAAAUUGCUUAGAAAGACAGAAGUUUAAGAGAUUAGGCAAAGCAAGUUAGGGAAUGAAAAAUAAGUUAGGGUGAUGAGAACCUGGUCAUGAAACUUGUUCAAUAAUGCCACACAGAGCAUUAUCGUGUCAAAACUAUCGGAGAAAGGCCGGAAAUAGAUCCAAAUAAAGCUUCAGUGACCUCUUUCAUGGCGGAAGCUGCUGGCUUCAAACAUUAGAGAGAAAAUAGCGAUACAGGGACUCCAUGGUUGAUGGAGAUCGAGAGAGGUGAGGGAGGAGUGAGUCGGAGAGGCGAUGGUUGUCAUUGGAGAAGACGGAGAGAACCAGAAGGUUCUAGAGAAAACUCAGAGACGAAGAGUCUAGAGAGAGA